AAACAAGGCAAACCAAAACCCCUCCAUCCUCCUUCAACCUCACGCACAACACCAGCAACUCCUCUCCUCUCCCUUGUCAGCCGCCGCACCACGCUCACUGCCGGACCACCACCUGCACCGACGACCACCGUCGACCCUCGUGUCAUCGCCGCCACGUUGCCGCCCAGCCUGCGUCGCUGCGCCGCCGCGUUCCUGGCCCACACCGACCAAUCCACCUCCGGUCGCAGCCACCUCGCCUAGCCGCGCCACCCUGUCCGCCGGCCAGCACUCCCCUCUCCC